rnacentral:rRNA from 1 species
GACGAACGCUGGCGGCGUGCUUAACACAUGCAAGUCGAACGGUAAGGCUCCAGCUUGCUGGGGUACACGAGUGGCGAACGGGUGAGUAACACGUGGGUGACCUGCCCUGCACUUCGGGAUAAGCCUGGGAAACUGGGUCUAAUACCGGAUAGGACCGUGGUGUGGAUACUGUGGUGGAAAGUUUUUUCGGUGUGGGAUGGGCCCGCGGCCUAUCAGCUUGUUGGUGGGGUAAUGGCCUACCAAGGCGGCGACGGGUAGCCGGCCUGAGAGGGUGGACGGCCACAUUGGGACUGAGACACGGCCCAGACUCCUACGGGAGGCAGCAGUGGGGAAUAUUGCACAAUGGGCGGAAGCCUGAUGCAGCGACGCCGCGUGGGGGAUGACGGCCUUCGGGUUGUAAACUCCUUUCACCAUCGACGAAGGGUUUCUGACGGUAGAUGGAGAAGAAGCACCGGCUAACUACGUG